AGUUUUGAGAAGGGGGGGAAACUAACCAAAAAUUUCAAUCUCCCUCCCACUAAAGGUCAGUUUGGUCGCGUUGGAUUUACGCGCUACCCACCCCCCUUCACGCAAAUUGCCUCCUUAUUACCUCAGCGCCUCUCUCUAUUUCUGGGUUUGUUCUAUUUUCCGCCAUCGUCUCUCUUCCUCUUCCAAUUCAAAUUCUCACCCCCAACAAACCCUUAAAAUCAAUAAACAAUGAGGAAAGGUACAAAGAGAAAGGCUAGAGAAGUAGGAGGAAGAAAAGGCAAGUCCAAGGAAGAGGAGAAGGUUAGUAGCCAAGAACAAACCGCAACCACCGAAGAAGCGACCAACAAGAAUGAGACCGCCGAAGCCCAAUCCCAAUCAGCUGCGGAGCAAGGAGAAUCUGUUCAGAAAGAAGAGCCUAAGAACAAUGACAAAGGAGGAGAGCCUAGCAAAGGUGUUGUUAAGCGCGGAGCUAAACGAGCCAAGAUUGCUAAGCCUCAAACUGAGACUGAGUAUUUCCCUGAUAAGCGUAAUUUGGAAGAUCUAUGGCAAGAGGUUUUUCCUGUUGGCACAGAGUGGGAUCAGAUAGACAUGGUUUACCAAUACAAAUGGAAUUUCUCGAAUCUCGAAGAUGCAUUUGAAGAAGGCGGAGAAUUGCAUGGAAAGAAAGUGUAUCUUUUUGGUUGUACUGAACCACAAUUGGUUUUUUUUCAGGGCCAAUCAAAAGUGACGUGUAUACCUGUUGUGGUUGCUGUUGUAUCUCCUUUUCCACCUUCUGAUAAAAUUGGANGUAUGUCUUUAUGGCUUCAAACAACAUACGUUCCUUUGGAACAACGGUAUUGUCCCUCAGCUAAUUUUCUUUCUUGUUGCCUCUCUUGUAUGUCUUAUGUAACUGUUUUAUAUCUUGGCUUCUGAUGCUGCUUUUAUUCUUUGGCUGACCAACAGGGAAUCUCAAGUUGAAAGACUCAAAUCCCAAAUUUUUAUUCUGAGGUGUACUCAAAGAAGGGCUGGUUUAAAACACUUGAAGCUGGAGCGAGUGAAGAAGUUUGAAUAUUGCUUACCUUAUUUCUAUCAGCCGUUUGCAGAAGAUGAACUUGAACAGAGCACCAUCGUGCAGAUCUUAUUCCCAACAGAACCGCCUGUGUUUUGCGAGUUUGAUUGGGAAUUUGAUGAGCCAGAGGAAAUGGCAGACAAAUUUAUUGAGGCAGAGGAGUUAGCGGCAGAUAAAAAAGAUGAAUUUAUGGAAUUUGUGAAGGAGAAGGUUCGUGAAGGAAAGAAGAAUAAUCGAGAGGCAAGAGAAGCCAGGAAAAAAGCUAUACAGGAGAUGAGUGAAGAAGCAAAAGCUGCAUUUCAAAGUAUGAAGUUUUAUAAAUUUUAUCCAAUGCCCUCACCUGAUGCUCCUGAUGUAUCUCAGGUCAAGUCUCCAUUCAUAAACAGAUACUAUGGAAAGGCUCACAAAGUUUUCUGAAUGAUGCAUCAAAAUAUAAGCGACUAUUGUCGAACCAUUUACUUUUGGAUGCCUACUUUGGAGCUGCAUGAUGGAAUCAUACUGCUCAACUUGGCUUGUACCUUGAAGCAACCAUUUGGAUUUAUGGAACUAUUUGAGGAUGUAGAAGAUCCACAGAAGCAAAAUGUAGUUUUUUCGUCUCAACCUUAUAGCUAGAGUUCAGUAAAAAAUUUUGGCAACGUGUUCUUGUCUUCGCUAGCUGUGAAUUUUUCUCAUUUUGGAUACAAAUGUAAUCCUUUUCAACUGAAGCUUCAGUUAUCAUGUUCACCCCUACAGACAAUAGGAGCUGCAAUUAAGAGUUGGUUCCCAGUUUGAAUUUAAGCUAUAAAUUUUUAGUUUCAAAUAAAUUUGAGUGAAUGUUGUAUCCACUCAUGGAGGUGUUCUUCUGA